AACGAACGCUGGCGGCGCGCCUAACACAUGCAAGUCGAACGAGAAUCCGGGGCAACCCGGUAGUAAAGUGGCAAACGGGUGAGGAAUACAUGGGUAACCUACCCUUGAGAAGGGAAUAACCCGCCGAAAGGUGAGCUAAUACCCUAUACGCUAUCUUUUUUUCGAAAAGGAUAGGAAAGCCGGGUCGAGGACCUGGUACUCAAGGAGGGGCUCAUGUCCUAUCAGCUUGUUGGUGGGGUAACGGCCUACCAAGGCUACGACGGGUAGCUGGUCUGAGAGGAUGAUCAGCCACACUGGCACUGAGAUACGGGCCAGACUCCUACGGGAGGCAGCAGUGAGGAAUAUUGCGCAAUGGGCGAAAGCCUGACGCAGCGACGCCGCGUGGGGGAUGAAGGUUUUCGGAUUGUAAACCCUUUCAUGAGGAAAGAUAAAGUGGGUAACCACUUAGACGGUACUCAAGAAGAAGCCACGGCUAACUUCGUGCCAGCAGCCGCGGUAAGUGACUACUG
rnacentral:rRNA from 1 species